CCACUUCAUUUGACAUAAUAUAUUGCAUAUUUUAUUUUAGUCAUAUUUUUUCAUUGACUGUUGUUUCUGCAGUAAGGAACUUGGUGAAUUUAGCAUCAAGAAACAAUGAUAGCUAGCAUUGUGUGACCAAGAAUUGCUUCAAUCCAAACAAUCUACAAAUUACAGCUGAAAAGUAUUGUAUCAGGAUAAAUUUCAUAUUUAUAUAUAACCGCCUGGAGCAAACAUGAUAAUCAUAUUCUGCCCUAUUUUAAUUAUUGUAUUUUAGCACGUAUUAAAUUUACUACUUAAUCGAGGUACUGCAAUUUUACAUUAUCUCGACUGAAAUGCAGCUCAAUUUUCAAAAAGCAGUCACUCUCAGUGAAAUUAACAAUGGUAAGGAUCCCCCUCCUGUAAACAGAAAAUGACCAUCCUGCACAGAAAAGAUCGUUUUGGAGAAUUUUAUUUCUUUUUUAAUAAAUUGAAAACUCGGCUUCUGGGUAUUACCAGACCAAUGGAUAACAUUUAAAACCCUUUUUCUGUCUUUUUGGAGGGUAUGCAGAUGAUAAUAAAAGGGACUAUGGAGUAAUGAAUAUAUUGAAGAUAUUGUCUUGAACCGCAAAACUGUAUAAAGUGUUACUUAUAUAGAGUAACACAAUAUAUAGAUAAAUUUUCCUAAAAAGAUACAAAUGAAAAUUAACCAGCUAUAGACAUUGAAAUCAAUACUCAAACAAGGCAUCCAUACUGUUGACCAUUUUUUGCACGUAAAACUGAAGAAAAAAACAAGAUCUAUCCAACUGGGUUUUAGCAUAAACCUAAAUACAGUCAUCAUCUCCUUUUUUUCCAUCACACCAGACUAUACUGGACAGCACUAUGCUGGUUUCUGCUCUAUCAAGGUGAUGUGUUCUCCUCUGCAGCAAAGUGGUUUUUCCAGCUGCUGCUCUGCUCCUGGGCAGUUGAAGCUCCGCUUUCCCUCUCAGGCUGUGGUUACAACAUAACAUCCACCUUCAGAGCAACAUAAUUUCACUUCUGACCCGGGUUUCUGAUUCAUACCUGCUACAAUAUUAACCACGUGGUGAUCAAUCUUACUGCUGAACCUAAGUGAGUCCUAUGGAACACCGCCUAAUCGUCCGAACACAUUAACUGAUGACUUUCAGACAGAUGUGAAUCUUUUUCUUGGUGAAUAGCACAGUCUCUCAGGGCUCCCACCCUGACUCUGAUGCUGCUCCAGGUGUUGCUGAACCCUCACACACCACCUUUACACCACAAUUCCCUCAUCAAUCCUAAACCAAAUUCUUCCAGCCUUAAGCCAAAUUCUCCACUGUUUCAUGCUCUCCUCUCUUCGCAUCACUGCAAACUUCACAUCAGCCCUCCUUCCCACAGGUGUCCAUCGGCAAGACAAAAACAGGGCAAAAACAAAACCAAAUCCUGCAAAUCAAAGCAGGACAGCUGGGUUUUAGCUGCCGUCCUCCCGCGCCUGGGCCGGGGCACCCGGGUAGGGGAUAAAGGCGGCGCAUGGCGCCUUCUAUGCCGUCUCGCGCCGACCGUUAGCCGCCAGGACAGCGCCGCGCGCUCAUCCGUUACAUUGUGCCCCUCACAGCGCAGCGCUGGGGGUGGGAGGAAGAGAGGCUCUCACAGGCGGAGGGAGACAGUCACAGUUUUAAAGCUAUUUUGAAGAGUUCCUGCAUGCCGAGAAGUGUUUGUCAUAGUACACUGCAGAGAAUUCUGUUCAUGGCAUGAAACCUUUUGGUAUUCUUUGAUGAAAGAGAGAAAGAAAACCUGCAGUGAUGAAAGUGAGCAGAGCAGCACCUGGAAUAAAUCAUCAAUUUCUAUGAGAAGUCCAAGGAACCAGUGGUUCAGUCUGAAGUCUGUGCUAUUCAUGUGGCUGCAGGAAAGGAGACAGCUUCCAGAAAAGGAAAGAGAAAAGAGAGAGGUGUUACUAACCCCCUUGUGAUGUUACGUCAUCUCCUCAGGCUGGCUGUGAUCUGUUGCUACCUACAUAGGAAAGAAUAAUAAAUGUUGAAGACUCCAUGGCCAGUAUAUAUGGAAAAGACACUAUAAGGAGUACCUAAUGGUGGUUCAGCAAAUGUGAUGGCAAUAACAGAACAUCAAGUGCUGCAUUCUUAUGCUGACAGAGCAGGAGCAAUCCGUGUGAAAGCAGCAUGUGGAUUAAAUGGCUCAAUUAGUGGAAGAUAUUCAAGUCUGUCAGUGAGAUGCAUCUGCAGCAUUACAUGUCUGUUUUUUGCCUCAGCGUGCCCACAGUCUGACCCCCGAUAAUGGCAGAUGUGAUAGAAUUUAAGAACUUACUGUGGAAGAUUCUCUGAUACAUUUCAUAUCAGGAGAACGGAGCAGAAACUAAGAAAAGAGAAGUGGAGGACUACACAAAUUAUGUGAACACUAUUAAAUACUGGAAAAUUUCAACAUAAUUUCUAAGGUGAA